UUUUUUGGCAUAGUUGC
rnacentral:misc_RNA from 1 species